rnacentral:rRNA from 1 species
UACGUAGGGUGCGAGCGUUGUCCGGAUUUAUUGGGCGUAAAGGGCUCGUAGGCGGCGUGUCGCGUCGGGAGUGAAAAGACCGGGGCUUAACCCCGUUCUGCUUCCGGUACGGGCAUGCUGGAGUGUGGCAGGGGGAGACUGGAAUUCCUGGUGUUAGCGGGUGGGAAUGCGCAGAUAUUCAGGGAGGGAAAACACCCCCGGGUGGGGCGAAAAGGGGCGGGGGGUCUCUGGGGG